GGCGAGAUGGCUCAGUGGUUAAGAGCGCCGACUGUUCUUCCGAAGGUCCUGAGUUCAAAUCCCAGCAACUACA
rnacentral:tRNA from 1 species